UGUGUAACCCUGCUGUAUUUGUACUGUGUUAUUUUGCUUUUCUGUAUUCUUUUACUUUAUGGGUAGUGUCCCUUUAAGAGAACUGAACGACAUUACUUUACGGCAGCAUUCCGACUGCAGUUCCUAGGGGAAUUCCCGGGGUUUAGAGUUCAGAGCUGCUGCAGAGCAGAGACAUGCUAGUCUCAGCCUGGCUUCUGCAUAUUGCCUAACUUUUAUGCCCAUAUGAUGUUUCCCUGCUAGGUGAGCAUUACUGGAGAUUUGUAAUGUCUGCAUUGUUGUGAGAGGAACGUUGGGCCUUUGUGUGCCUGCAGAGGAGGAAGGAGAGGCUGCUGAAUUUUCCGUGUUUGUGGACACCGGCUGCCAUCAUCAUUCUGGGUCCCUAUCCCAGUCGAGACAACCUUUUUCAUUUGUAUGCACCAGACACACACAUACAAAUAUAGAGCUCUAUAUGAACUUUUUUUUUUUGCUGGCCCUCUUCUUUUGUUUUUUCUCUCUCUACCAAGGACCCUGUUACAGUGAAUGUUGUUCACUCUAAGAUUUGAGUUGAGAUGAAGUUGGAUGUAUUUCAGUCCAGAAAUUUGUAAUAAACAAAACUGGUUGAUAGUAAACUGCUAUCUGAA